GUUUACUUCUUUCUCCUCCUACCUCUCUCUUCUCUCUUUGUUCCCAUUGCAAGUUCCGCUUCUUCAUUGGUUAUCUGCUGCACUGGCUGUGCUCUCGGUGGUUCAAUUAGACCUCGCCGCGAGCUGGUUUUGGGUCGAAACCAUCGGUUCGGCUCAAUUCAGGUUUGAAAAUAAUUUUAAUUUGAAAUGUUUUCAAUUUUAGAAUGAUUUUGGUUUGAC
rnacentral:misc_RNA from 1 species